AUUGAACGCUGGCGGCAGGCCUAACACAUGCAAGUCGAGCGAGCGGCGGACGGGUGAGUAAUGUCUGGGAAACUGCCUGAUGGAGGGGGAUAACUACUGGAAACGGUAGCUAAUACCGUAUACCAUCAGAUUUGCCCAGAUGGGUGUAGCUAGUAGGUGGGGUAACGGCUCACCUAGGCGACGAUACCUAGCGGGUCUGAGAGGAGGACCAGCCACACUGGAACUGAGACACGGUCCAGACCCCUACGGGAGGCAGCAGUGGGGAAUGUUGCACAAUGGGCGCAAGCCUGAUGCAGCCAUGCCGAGUGUGUGAAGAAGGCCUUCGGGUUGUAAAGCACUUUCAGCGGGGAGGCGUUACCCGCAGAAGAAGCACCGGCUAACUCCGUGCCAGCAGCCGCGGUAAUUC
rnacentral:rRNA from 1 species